rnacentral:lncRNA from 1 species
AUGGAAACUCUUUGCAGAUGCCUCCUCAAUACCUUUCAGAGAUGGCCUGGUCCCUCUAAGAAGCUAUGUCUUUGGCUUGAUGGAGAGAUUGAACUACAGAAACCAACUCUCUAUGGUGGCUGCUCAUCUGGGAAAAGAAAGGGACAAAAUCUACACUUACCGAGUGACUACUGUGUCACAGGCAUGGAACAUACAUUCACUCAUUCAGAGCAGAAGUCAGCGGGUGUCAACUGCCUACGAGCUUCCCAAAGACUCGAAACUCAGUUUAAAAAACAAUGGAAAAUUCUGCUCGUCUUGACGCUCAGCUGCAGGGUGGUUCUGGGAGCAGCUGUCCCUCGGGGAGAUGGCAACUCCUUAGCCAAAGACGUGGCAACUGCGGGCGAAGUAUCUCUGGGCAGGAGAUCAAUGCAAAAAUGCAACUGGGGAGAGGGGGCUUGGGGGCCAGUUCCGGGGAGAUUGGAACUGCUGUGUUCUCAUCAGAAGUGGCCCCUGCCCACCCCCAUCCCAAUCCCUUCUCAUGUGGGAGAAGGUCUGUGAGCCCUCUCCCUACCAGGGAGGUUCUGUGGCAAUGUGGGCACAUACCCUGGGGCAGGGGCCGAGGGACUUACUCACUUCAUGAGCGCCAAUGGAGGAGCGAAGGGAAUGCCUGAUGAAAACAACAUUCUACCAGUAUGCACUGUUUUCUAACCUACAGAGUGCUUCUGUGUUCACUGCCCCAUUUGAGAAUUCUAAGUAGAAUUCUGAACAGGCUGGAGCAGAUUGCCCACCCCAAGGGACAGAUGUUGGCUGGUACUGUUGGUGUUCAUGGAAGAUUCCUUCUGACACUCCCUCCUUCUUUGUAAUUGCCCUGAACUGGAGCACUGGGCCAAUAUAAAUCAUCCAAGGAUGAACACGCUGCACACGGACGGCUCCUCUUUGUUUUUGAAGGGAUUCCAUCUCUAUUCUCUUGCCAUGUGCUUCUUCACCCCACUCCCCACCCCCGUCUUUCAUUUCUUUCUCUGGAAAAGAUACUUCAACUCACAGGACUGGGAUGUUGAAACGGACACCCAAGAGCAUCACAGAUGGGCCAGGCCUGGACCUCUCGGGACAACAUUCCUCACGACUUUUAGAAGAGAUUAGAGAUUUGGGACUGGUGGCAACUGGUAACGUUUUCAGUGUUUGGUAAACAGCCAGGGUCCGGAGCUCUGGGAACAGCCUGAUUUAGCUCUUUGUUUAAGUUUUGUGUUAGAGGCUCCCAAGAAGCUGAUGCAGGGGAAAGAAAUUAACAACCAUGGCUCAUUCACAGCCAGGCAGCCAAAUGGACAGCUCUAUAAGACUCAAGCCGACAGCGGAGAGAGUGCAACCAAACAGCCUUGGCCCAGCUUUCAGAGGAGAACGUUAUUCACCCCAACUGCUCUGCAUCUGCCUGGAUGUCUGCCAAGAUCUGUGAGCACUACAGCGUUGGUAUGCUUUGGGUGAGGCCUGUGGCUAUGGCAACGAGUUGGGAGCAACCCGGUCCCUGGGAAUGAGAACAGUGUCUAAAAUCAGGCAGGCGAGGGGUUAGGGAGGAGAGGUAAAGGUUGGACUUGCCUGAAGAUGGAGCCGUUUUAUUGUUGUGGGUAAAGCUGCUACCAUUAGGGGCUGUUUACAGAGUGGGUGCAGCUCAAGCUGGGAGCAUGUUAGACUCAACUACGAUCAACCUAUUGACUUGUUCCCAUGAGACACAGAGUAAAUUAACUGUUGCAGUACUGGUCAUGUACCACCAACCUCCUGUGAACCAGCCCUCAGUGAAACAUUUAUGUGAAAGGCCAUGGUGUUCCCAUAAGACGGUGCAUAUUCUCUCCCUUGACUAACUCUUCAGUAUGCCUCAUUCUCACGCACUGCUGUGCAGGAA